rnacentral:lncRNA from 1 species
GGGUAUGUGACGAGGAGGAGUGGAGGGACUCACCUGAGUCACCGGAGCAAGGCCGGAGCCACGCCGGCGACGCGCUAGCACAAACCCUAGCUGGUGGGCAGGGUCACGCUUGGCCGCUGGAGGACGCGUGCGUCGGAUCUUGCCCGAUGGGAGGAAGGAGCGUUGAGAGGGGGACACGGUGGUGUGCUGGGCGCCGCCGGAGGACGCUGGAAUCGGGCGGGAUCGGGCACCGUAGGUGGUGGCGGCUGCGGCGAGAAGUGAUGCGGGGAGAGGGAGAGACGAGAAAGAGAAAGGAUUGGUGGGUCAGUGGGAUUGGUGUGGCGAGAAGUGGUCUUCUUUAUUUAUUUAUUUUUUUAAAGAUGGUCUUGUUUAUUUAUUAUUCGCGCGUUGUGAAACUGAAAACCAAACGAAAUCGUUCGCGGGAUGAUCCAAACCUCUCGACGACGCAUGAGCCUGACUUUAACUCACUUUAUCCAAAAAAGGCUUUACCUCACUUAUUUAUUUAUUUAUUUAUUAUUAUUAUUAUUUACUUUCUUUGGUCGAUGCAUUGUUCCCACGGAUUGGCCCCAUCUGAUCGAUCAUAGUCAUCCAUGUCUUCUAGAUCCGACGGUAGAGACACCGUGUCACGCCGAUCAUGCCUUGCUCUAGAUAAGUAAAACCAUUAAAGUAAUUGUCAUUCCGGAACCAACUUAGGCCUAUGUUUUUUAUGGGUUAUUGAAAAAGAAAAAAAUUAUCUAGAAACCAAGUUCAAUAUAAAUAUAGUACGAAACUAAAUAAAAAUGUUGAAAUUAAUUUAGUAUGGAGCUUCAGAUGACUAGUGUGUUGUAAUGUUUCUCGCCUUUUUGGAGAUUUGUCGUACCGUCGGUCGUCCUUGGCAUGAUGGGGAUCGCCAAGAGAGAGAUUGUCUUUCACUUUUUUUUCUCGUUUCUUUUCACUUUAGGCAGCCAGCCUAUCACAUGCGAGGCCACAGAUCACUCCCUUGAAACAGAUCCUGGCCAUCCACUCCUCCUACAUCCAACGCUUCAAAACCCUCCCCUCAUCCAACACACCUCUAUCACUUUUUCUCUUCUUUUUUUUCAAUCGGUGGCACUUAAUGACCAAUUUGUGCAAUAGUAUCAUGACCUAAUGGACACAAAAGGUCAUAACAUUAUGGGCUUUGGACCCUCUUAGACUUGCCAUGACUAAUUUCGGAAUUUUGGUCAUGGAUCAAUGACCAAUUAAACCGCCGUCAUUAUUUUUGGUCAUAAUUGAGCAUUUUUCUUGUAGUGAAGGUAAAGAGUGAGGUAUUAAGCUUAAGUAUGAUUGUAUUAAAUAUUUUAUGAAUACUGAUGCUUUUCAAAAGUUUAGAACUAAGUAUGGAGUUGACUCUAAGAUGGUAGCCUCUUUUUGUGAAUCAUUUGCUACUCAAGUUGAUCUACCUAAGGUGAAGUGGUUUAGAUAUCACCCCCCUAUUAAAGAAGAAAUUAAAGAACCAACAAUAGCCAAAGAAUAAAAUAUCAUUUAUAAUGUUCACCGGUUGUCCCUACCACUUACAUUGAAAAACCUCCUUUUCUUGUUAAGAUAAAAGAACAUGCUAAGGUUCCAAUUGUGGUUCGCAAAAGUGAUAUUAAAGCACCUAAACCUUCUGAAGAACUUAAGGUAGACUCUAAUGCUGCUUUGGUUAAAGAUCUCUUGGAAUAAAAUAUUGAUGGGCAUGUUAUUUACUUCUAUGGUGAAACUGCUAGAAUUGCUAAACCUCAUGGAAAAGAUAAUCAUAGACCAGCCGUUGGCAUGUCUGUCGUCUCAAUUAAAAUAGAAGAUCAUUGUUACCAUGGUUUAUGUGAUAUAGGUGCUAGCGUAAGUGCUAUUACCUUCACUUUAUAUCAUGAAAUUAUGGAUGAAAUAGCACCCGUUGAAAUAGAAGACAUAGAUGUUACUAUUAAACUUGUUAAUAGAGACACCAUCACACCACUUGGGAUUGUUAGAGAUGUUGAAAUCUUGUGUGGGAAAAACAAAUAUCCUACUGAUUUUCUUGUUCUUAGUUCCCAGAAGAUGACUUUUGUCCCAUUAUCUUUGGUAGACCUUUUUGAACAACGUUAAUGCUACUAUAGGUUGCCAUAAACAAAUUGUGGAUGUUAAUUUUGGUGGUGAUUCUCAUGACUUUAAUUUUUCCAAGUUUAGUAGAAAACAUCAUAAGAAAGAAUUGCCUAAUAAAUAUGAGAUAAUUGGUCGUGCUUCUAUUGACAUGCCUCCCACUGAUCCUUUAGAACAAUAUUUUCUAGACCAUGAAAAUGAUAUGGAUAUGCAUGAAAGAAAUGAAAUAGAUAACAUCUUAUUUGAACAACAACCUCUUCUUAAGCACAAUUUUCCUAUUGAAACUUUAGGAGGUCCUCCUCCAUCUAAAGGUGAUCAUGUGUUUGAAUUGAAACAAUUUCCUCAUACUUUGAAAUAUGCUUAUCUUGACGGAAAAAACAUAUAUCUUAUAAUUAUUAGUGCUAACCUUUCAGAACAUGAGGACGAAAGAUUAUUGAAAGUUCUCAAGAAGCACUGAGUUGCUAUUGGAUAUACUCUUGAUGAACUUAAGUGCAUUGGCCAUCCAGCUAAGUCCGAACCUAAAUUUUCUAGGUUUAGGUUCCCAAGUAUCUCAAUAAAGCUUCUCCAGUUUCGGAAAGCAGACCAGCUCGACCCUCUCAAAGCAACACAUGUCGAGAUAACACAGAGUUUUGAGUUUGGUACAUCUAUCUUCCACACACAGCCACGACUAGCAUGGCAAUGACAGAGCCUUACAUGCCUCAAUUGUGUGCAAAGGUCAAACAGGAGAUGGUGCAUGUCCAACUUAUAGGAACACACAUUGUGCAAAGAAAGUCUUUUGAGGCAAUGAAGCACGCUAGGGUAGGCAUUCAAUAAACAAUCCAUGUCGUUGGCAAACCAUAUGGCAUAUAAGGAUCACAUCAGUCGCGCGGUUUCAUCUCGUCGAGAAUCGUAAGAUCCACAUCUUUCAAUACGCCGUUGUCGAUCGCAUUGCACACCAGUGGUCUAAUGUCACUUGAGAACACGCUGAUCGAGCAAAGCUUGAGCUGCAGGUUUGUGAGGGUCUUCGAGGUUUAUCCAAUAAGCUCCUGGCUGCUUUGGUUAGGGUCAUUUGCCUCAAUUGCAUGUGGGUGUGGAAAAGAUAGGAAAUCCUUGACGUCGAUGUUGAACGCGCGAAGAAACCAAGGCAGAUGUCUCCAACGUGUAGAGACCACACUUCUCCUUGCAGCUGUAAUUAGGUCCAUUCUGACAGCAAAAUGUCGUCAGUCAGCACGCUGAGUCUGUCUCCUCGUCUGGGCUUUCCUCAGCAUAAAGAAAGCGGACGAUAUAUUCUUACUUGACCGGGUUCAAUAUUAUUUAGCUCCAUCAAUGAAGAAUCUAAUGGGGCUUCUGCACCUUCGAAUCUUACGAGUGAUUGGUCCGCAAAAUUUACAGCUGCUUCUGAAAGGACCUAAACUACUGAACGAGGAGCGACAGAGUCAGCAGCCACGCGGGAGGGGACCACCUCCACCGCCAACGACGUUCACCAACCGGACAAAGCAAGGGAAGCACAUCAGGCCCUUUAGGCCCGUCCGAGCCUGAAAGGGGCUCAUGAAGCUCUCGUCACCGUACUGCAGUAGGCGCCCGCCGUCACCGCAACCCCCGGCACGAGGUGCAGCCCCUUCCGUUGGGGCCAUCACAGGCAAACCGAGCCAGGCCCGCCCGGACAUAGAUGGGGCCCAAAAGGGCCCAGAUCUGGGCUAGGAGGGCGGCGCCGUCGCGACAGCCCGAAGCCAAUUGGCCGCACCACCGCGAUCAGACCACCCGGAGGAGCGCCGCCCGAGAACGCCCGUCGCCGCCGGAACCACCGAAGACCGAGGAGCCCCGCAACCACCCGCGGCCACCACCAUGAAAUGCAGUCGUCUGGGCCCCGGCCGCUGCCCCACAGUCGCCGCGCAGCAUCCGCCUGACCGCCGCCGGGCCCCCGCACCAGCCCGACGCCUCCAGCCCACGCCGGCUGCCCCGCACCAGUCGCACCAAGGGAAGGGGAGAAGCUGCCCCGCCGCCAGCCACCGCAAGGGGCAAAGGGCAGCACCGGCCGACGAC